rnacentral:rRNA from 1 species
GUGCCAGCAGCCGCGGUAAGACGAACCGUACGAACGUUAUUCGGAAUUACUGGGCUUAAAGGGUGCGUAGGCUGUGCGGAAAGUUGGGCGUGAAAUACCUCAGCUUAACUGAGGAACUGCGUUCAAAACUACCGUGCUUGAGGGAGACAGAGGUAAGCGGAACUGAGGGUGGAGCGGUGAAAUGCGUUGAUAUCCUCAGGAACACCGGUGGCGAAAGCGGCUUACUGGGUCUCUUCUGACGCUGAUGCACGAAAGCUAGGGUAGCAAACGGGAUUAGAUACCCCAGUAGUCC